AUUGAACGCUGGCGGCAUGCCUUACAUAUGCAAGUCGAACGGUAACAGGUCUUCGGAUGCUGACGAGUGGCGAACGGGUGAGUAAUACAUCGGAACGUGCCUAGUAGUGGGGGAUAACUACUCGAAAGAGUGGCUAAUACCGCAUGAGAUCUACGGAUGAAAGCAGGGGAUCGCAAGACCUUGUGCUACUAGAGCGGCCGAUGGCAGAUUAGGUAGUUGGUGGGAUAAAAGCUUACCAAGCCGACGAUCUGUAGCUGGUCUGAGGGGACGAUCAGCCACACUGGGACUGAGACACGGCGCAGACUCCUACGGGAGGCAGCAGUGGGGAAUUUUGGACAAUGGGCGCAAGCCUGAUCCAGCAAUGCCGCGUGCAGGAUGAAGGCCUUCGGGUUGUAAACUGCUUUUGUACGGAACGAAAAGCCCUGGGUUAAUACCCUGGGGUCAUGACGGUACCGUAAGAAUAAGCACCGGCUAACUACGUGCCAGCCGCCGCCGUAAUAC
rnacentral:rRNA from 1 species